UCCAGAGGAAAUGAAUAAAGACUUUCGUUUCCCUGCUAAAAUCAAGAGAGGAAGGAGCUACGCAGCAGUGUUUUGUGAAGGGAGAACUUCCCCUGAGGUUCCGACCAAAGAAUAAAACCCUGAAGUCGGCAGUGGGAAGUCCCAAGGCGCCAUGCAGGUAUCAAUGGUCGAUUUACUUUCCAAAGUGGAUUCAGGAAGAUGCGUGGGCAUCGAAAUAUCCAACAAGACCAGAUCUGUUACUUUAUCCUCUCCAAGGGAACCACCCACAGAGGGGAUAAAAAACCUUCCGUGAAGCAGUAUGGGAAAUUAGCCCCUGAGGAAGUAUCAUUGGAUACGAAACGCGUUGGGACUUUCACUGUGUAAUUAAAGUAUUUUAUUGGAAUAAAUUGAAUUUCUAUUAAGGCAAA